UUACGGCCAUCUCGCGUUGAAAUACAGGUUACCGUACGAUCACUGGAGUUAAGCAACGUCAAGCCUGGUCAGUACCUAAAUGGGUGACCGCUUGAGAAUACCAGAUGCUGUAAG